UAACGCGAAGAACCUUACCUGGGCUUGACAUGUGCCGGACGCCCGCGGAGACGCGGGUUCCCUUCGGGGCCGGUUCACAGGUGGUGCAUGGUCGUCGUCAGCUCGUGUCGUGAGAUGUUGGGUUAAGUCCCGCAACGAGCGCAACCCUCGCCGCGUGUUGCCAGCGGGUCAUGCCGGGAACUCACGCGGGACCGCUGGGGCUAACUCGGAGGAAGGUGGGGAUGACGUCAGAUCAUCAUGCCCCUUACGUCCAGGGCUUCACGCAUGCUACAAUGGCCGGUACAACGGGGUGCGACACGGUGACGUGGGGCGGAUCCCUGAAAACCGGUCUCAGCUCGGAUCGCAGUCUGCAACUCGACUGCGUGAAGGUGGAGUCGCUAGUAAUCGCGGAUCAGCAACGCCGCGGUGAAUACGUUCCCGGGCCUUGUACACACCGA
rnacentral:rRNA from 1 species